GCGGUCUGGGGAAAGGCUCCUGUGUGGCUGCGCCCCGUACCAGGCAGCCCGACCCUGACCUACAGUAAGCGCCCAGGGGCCGCCCCCCGGUGCGGACGUUGCAGUAACAGGUGUGAGCACCCUAGCAGCAGUUUGGUGAUCAUGUAUGAUACUGCACACAGGC
ensembl:scaRNA SCARNA16 small Cajal body-specific RNA 16